AUGAUUAAGUCUUUGGAGAAACUGAUAGUUUCAUGUCCCAAGAUUCACCACCUGGAGACUCUGCUUUCUGGGCUUUACAUCUGCAAGGAAAUUCUCCAUACUGCUCUUGCCCUGCCUCCUGUCUCCCCAGAGCAGCUGACACCAAGUGUAUGUGGCACUGGAUGGCACUUAGUCAUCGAGGGGAACAAGACUGACAGCAGAGGUUGAUGCCUGCAGAGAGAAAACAGUAACAGCUGAUGCUUCAAACAGCAGCUGCAGCAUCCUCAGAUUCACCGACUCCCACUCAGAGACCUUGCCCGGAUCCAUCAACACGCAGCAGAUAGGGCAUGUGCAUCCAUGGAUAAGCCUCCUCUAGGCAGAGAGAGAACUGACCAUGGGUAUGAGGAGGUCUUUGUUCCACUGAGAUCAACAAGGAUGGAGGUGAGAGAGCUCUGUGGGGGUGGAGAGGGAACAGAAUCUUUGCUGUGUGGAUAGUGCCCAUAACACUUUGAUGGGGAAGGGCAGAGCAGUGAAAAAUACUGUUCUUGGGAGUGGGGGAGUCUGAAGCACAAAUUAGUGCUAAUGAAGCAGAAAAUCAGGGGUUGUACCCCAAGACCUGCAGCCUGGUCAGUCAGGAGUUGAAGAUCUCAGGUUCAGAUCAGGAGUCACAAAUUGAGCUAGGAUCUCUUCAUUAGACCUGCUACAUCUUUGGCUUUACCAUUUGUAUAUAGUAGGAAAAUACUGGCAUUGAUCUUCCUAUCUAUAGAAUUUCAAAACGUCUACAAAACAUAACAAAAUACAGUGUGUGCUCUACAAUACUGUGUGUUCAUAACCAUGUCUGUUUUUCAGUAUUUAUGUUAUACCUAUAUAUAAAUUAAGAGAGAAAAAAGAGGGAAUAUAUGACAUAUGGAUAAGAUAUGAGACUAUGGUCAAGUGGCUGUAAUGAACAGCAGGGAGGUUUGGAAUAGAUAAGGGCAAUAUUUUCUGUGCCUGAGAUGCACCAUUAUCAUUUUAAAAGGCUCUUUAAUAUUGUGUUGUUUGGCCAUUACUUUC
rnacentral:lncRNA from 1 species